CCUACGGGAGGCAGCAGUGAGGAAUAUUGGUCAAUGGACGAAAGCCUGAACCAGCCAAGUAGCGUGAAGGAUGACUGCCCUAUGGUUUGUAAACUUCUUUUAUAUGGGAAUAAAAUGUUCCACGUGUGGGUUUUUGUUUGUACCAUAUGACUAAGGACCGGCUAAAUCCGUUCCAGCAGCCGCGGUAAUACGGAGGGUCCGAGCGUUAUCCGGAUUUAUUGGGUUUAAAGGGAGCGUAGGUGGAUUGUUAAGUCAGUUGUGAAAGUUUGCGGCUCAACCGUAGAAUUGCAGUUGAAACUGGCAGUCUUGAGUACAGUAGAGGUGGGCGGAAGUCGUGGUGUAGCGGUGAAAUGCUUAGAGAUCACGAAGAACUCCGAUUGCGAAGGCAGCUCACUGGACUGCAACUGACACUGAGGCUCGAAAGUGUGGGUAUCAAACAGGAUUAGAUACCCGGGUAGUC
rnacentral:rRNA from 1 species